CGGCAGCACGGACUUUCGGUCUGGUGGCGAGUGGCGAACGGUUAUAAUGUAUCGGAACGUGCUCAGUAGCGGGGGAUAACUACGCGAAAGCGUAGCUAAUACCGCAUACGCCCUUCGCCAGGGGGAAAGCGGGGAUCUUUCGGGCCUCGCACUAUUAGAGCGGCCACCGGAUUAGCUAGUUCAGGGGGCAGCGAAGUCCGGCUCACCAAGGCGACGAUCCGUAGCUGGUUUGAGAGACGACCAGCCACACUGGGACUGGAGAUGACGCUCCAGACUCCUACGGGAGUGGGCAGCAGUGGGGAAUUUUGGACAAUGGGGGAACUCCGAUCCAGCCAUCCCGCGUGUGCGAUGAAGGCCUUCGGGUUGUAAAGCACUUUGGCAGGAAGAAACGGCACGGGAUAAUACCCUUGCGCAACUGACGGUACCUGCAGAAUAAGUACCGCUAACUACGUGCCAGCAGCCGCGGUAAUACGUAGGGUGCAAGCGUUAAUCGGAAUCCGCUGGGCGUAAAGCGUACAGGCGGUUCGAAAGAAAGAUGUGAAAUCCCAGAGCUUAACUUUGGAACUGCAUUUGAACUACUGAGCUAGAUGUGUCAGAGGGAGGUGGAAUUCCGCGUGUAGCAGUGAAUGCGUAGAUAUGCGGAGGAACACCGAUGGCGCUAAGGCAGCUCCUGGGAUAAUUGACGCUCAUGCACGAAAGCGUGAGCAACAGGAUUAGAUACUCCUGGUAGUCCACGCCCUAAACGAUGUCAACUAGCCGUUGGGCCUUUCGCCUGGUAGCGCAGCUAACUGCGUGAAGUUGACCGCUCAAGGAGGUCAUUGCAAGAUUAAAACUCAAAGGAAUUCGACGGGGACUCCGCACAAGCGGUGGAUGAUGUGGAUUAAUUCGAUGCAACGCGAAAACCUUACCUACCCUUGACAUGUCUGGAAUCCUGAAGAGAUUUGGGUUGCAAGAGAAACCGGAACACAGGUGCUGCAUGGCUGUCGUCAGCUCGUGUCGUGAGAUGUUGGGUUAAGUCCCAACGAGCGCAACCCUUGUCAUUAGUUGCUACGAAAGGGCACUCUAAUGACUGCCGGUGACAAACCGGAGGAAGGUGGAUGACGUUAUUCCGCGUAGUUCUGGUGGGUAGGGCGCUUCACACGUCAUACAAUGGUCGGGACAGAGGGUCGCUAACCCGCGAGGGGGGAGCCAAUCCCAGAAACCUGAUCACGUCCGCCACAUCGUAGUCUGCAACUCGACUGCGUGAAGUCGGAAUCGCCAGUAAUCGGUGGAUCAGCAUGUCGCGGUGAAUACGUUCCCGGGUUCACGGCUACACUGCCCGUCACACCAUGUGAGUGGGUUUUACCAGCGUUAAACCCAACCGUAAGGAUGAGGCGAUUACCACGGGUAGGAUCUGCGAUGACCACGUCGUAACGCGUAG
rnacentral:rRNA from 1 species